GAACAUUCCUACGUUCCAGGAAUCCAUGCAGACUCACCUGAGGAUUCUCCUCAAUCCAUCUAGGAACCCUUGCCAUGCCUACUUUGAAGAGCUGGUUGAGCAGGAGCAAAACCUGAAGUACUUGGAUAUGAAGCCAGUUGUUCAGUACAUCUCUUUUCCCACCCGACUUAGCUUGGAAAAUGUUUCACUCUUCUUUUUAGACUUUGCUUCCUCCAUGCCACAGCUCUGUGUUAUUUUUUCUCUCCUUUCUCCUUGUUCAGAUAGACAAAUUUUCUUUUUUCCUUUUUCAGGUUUUCUGAUAGGUCAUAUUGCUGUCUUCAGAAAAGCUCUAGCACUUCUUCACAUGUUCACAGAGUAUUCAUGUCAGACUGAUUUUAGAGCAGUAUAUAUGUCACUUAGUCUUAACUUGAAAACUUCAGAUAAGACUGUAAUUUACAAUUUUUAUUAGUAGAUCAGUAAAAGACAUUAACUUAUAAACAAAUGUUUGUAAUAGAGUGAUAGCACAAAGACUAAGUACUGAAUCAGAAGGCAAUUAAUUUAAUUGAGAUUUAGUUGCAUGUGAAACACCUGUGUUAGCCUAGCUAGCAUCACCUGCACUCAGGAUACUUGCUUUGAUGAAUCCACUAGUCAGUAAACCUUUGGCUCCUGAUAAUUGUUUUUUAUAAUUGGGUUCCAUGCUGUAAAGAAAAAAAUGUUUUGUCCUGUUUGAAGUACUUUUAUGAAAGUCCUUCUUCUUUGGGGACAGUAGAAUUAGAUAAAUGCAUUAGCAAUGAAUCCAGUUGUACUGGCAUGAGAAACAAUCUGCUUUUAGGAAGGGAAGCUCAGUGGUUAAUGGUGUUAAAAAGACUUUGGUUGUCAGGGUCUCCUUCUGUGAAAACUAACUUGGUGCAAUAAUACCUCAUAGAGAAGAAGUUUUUAGAAAUACGGUGUUAAGAAGCUGAUGGGUCUUCAGUCAGUCUGUAAUCUGUAAGAUACUCAGGUCAUCUCUAGAACAAGGAUACAAAAACCUUCUUUAAAAGCCAACAUUGUGGAUUUGAUGCUCAGCAGUUUGAGCUGACUGUGCUCAGUCAUUGGAGGGACUUCCUUUCUUGUAAGGUUGUUCUCAGUGAGAGAAGAACUUCAUCUAUUUCUUUGGACUUCCCCCUCUGAAAGACAUCCAGUCUUUGCUGAUGGAAGGGUACUAUUUGGAGGUGUACAUGUCUUUCACAUCUAGUGUGAGCAAAUUUUAUUCUGUCUAUGCACAAUGUUAUUGGAAAUGGUCACCUAUGUGAUAUGGAUAGAAAGUUGCUGAUGAUCAUAUGUGGAUUACUUCUGUUUCUCAUCAUCAGUUUGGUAUCUCUCCCAGGUUUAUGAUCUUUUCUGUUCAGGCUUUUUCCUCUUGUGAGGAAUGAGUUAACAUGUCUGUAUG